rnacentral:rRNA from 1 species
UACAGAGGGGGCUAGCGUUGUUCGGAAUUACUGGGCGUAAAGGGCGCGUAGGUGGCCUGUUAAGUCGAACGUGAAAUCCCCGGGCUCAACCCGGGAACUGCGUCCGAGACUGGCAGGCUCGAAUCCGGGAGAGGGAUGUGGAAUUCCAGGUGUAGCGGUGAAAUGCGUAGAUAUCUGGAGGAACACCAGAGGCGAAGGCGGCAUUCUGGACGACAUCAGACGCUGAGACGCGACAGCACGGGGAGCGAACGGG